rnacentral:rRNA from 1 species
GACGAACGCUGGCGGCGUGCUUAACACAUGCAAGUCGAACGGUAGGGCCCUGCUUUGGUGGUGUGCUCGAGUGGCGAAAGGGGGAGUAACACGGGAGUAAACUGGCCGUGACUUUGGGAUAACUUGAGGAAACAGGGGCUAAUACAGGAUAGGAGCUCCUGCUGCAGGGUGGGGGGUGGAAAGUUUCGGCGGAUGGGGAUGGACUCGCGGGUUAUCGGCUUGUUGGUGGGGUAGUGGCUUACCAAGGCGGUGACGGGUAGCCGGCCUGAGAGGGUGACCGGCCACACUGGGUCUGACGGACGGCCCAGACUCCUACGGGACGCAGCUGUGGGAAAUUCUGCCCGAGCGGCGGAGGCCGGGUGCAGCAGCGCCGCGUGCGGGAUAACUGCCUUCGGGUUGUAGACCGCUUUCGCCAGUAACGAAGCGUGACUGACGGUAAUCGGUCAAGAAGCCCCGGCUAACUACGUG